rnacentral:rRNA from 1 species
GAGUUUGAUCUUGGCUCAGGACGAACGCUGGCGGCGUGCUUAACACAUGCAAGUCGAACGAGAAUCUACUGAAAGAGUUUUCGGACAAUGGAAGUAGAGGAAAGUGGCGGACGGGUGAGUAACGCGUGAGGAACCUGCCUUGAAGAGGGGACAACAGUUGGAAACGACUGCUAAUACCGCAUGAUGCAUAAGGGUCGCAUGAUUCUUAUGCCAAAGAUUUAUCGCUUCAAGAUGGCCUCGCGUCUGAUUAGCUAGUUGGCGGGGUAACGGCCCACCAAGGCGACGAUCAGUAGCCGGACUGAGAGGUUGAACGGCCACAUUGGGACUGAGAUACGGCCCAGACUCCUACGGGAGGCAGCAGUGGGGAGUAUUGGGCAAUGGGCGCAAGCCUGACCCAGCAACGCCGCGUGAAGGAAGAAGGCUUUCGGUAUGUAAACUUCUAUCAGCAGGGAAGAAAUGACGGUACCUGACUAGAAGCCCGGCUACUACGUGCCAGCCGCCGCGGUA